GACUAACGCUGGCGGCGUGCCUAACACAUGCAAGUCGAACGAGAAAGCGGUAGCAAUACUGCGAGUAAAGUGGCGAACGGGUGAGUAACACGUAAACAAUCUGCCCCUAAGUGGGGGAAAACCUGGGGAAACUCGGGCUAAUCCCCCGUAAGGUGACGAAAACGCAUGUUUUUGUCAUUAUAGAUUUAUCGCUUAGGGAGGAGUUUGCGUCUGAUUAGCUAGAUGGCGGAGUAAUAGCCCACCAUGGCUAUGAUCAGUAGCUGGUCUGAGAGGAUGAUCAGCCACACUGGGACUGAGAUACGGCCCAGACUCCUACGGGUGGCUG
rnacentral:rRNA from 1 species